rnacentral:rRNA from 1 species
GGAAUCUUCCACAAUGGGCGAAAGCCUGAUGGAGCAACGCCGCGUGUGUGAUGAAGGGUUCCGGCUCGUAAAACACUGUUGUAAGAGAAGAAUGACAUUGAGAGUAACUGUUCAAUGUGUGACGGUAUCUUACCAGAAAGGAACGGCUAAAUACGUGCCAA